GUGAGUUGAUAGCGUGACAUUCCCCUCCUCACUCUUCGAGCCAUCUGUGGAGAAUGCUCUAAUUCUGGAUUUCCUCUGUCAAACAGAUAGUCAAGCAGGAUGGAAUUCAAGGCCCCUCUAUGAUUCUAUGAGAUGGAAUACAUCCAUGAUGGACAGCACAGUCAAGAACACAUUUCUUCCCCCUUCCCCACUUAAUCUCCUCAAUCAUAAUUGGCUUGCAGAGAAGCAGGAAAUAACUUACAAAACAAAGCACAUCUCUUAUGUGUUAAAAUUCAGUGAACUUUAGUCUCUGGAGAACUUGGAUGUUAACAACUCGACCAUCAAGCUUGGCCGAAGAGAUUGCCCCAUAGCAGUUGUUCUCAUCCUUGGCGACUUUAGGAUGUGUGGACUUCACUCCCCAAAUUCCCCAGCCAGCGUGGCUCUCCAGACACUAUUAAAAAUCAAGCUAUUUUGGAGAACAUUUGGGAUAUGAAGUGAUGCCAUUCAUUAUGAGAUUGAAUUUGUGUGAGUUGGGUAGGAAGGGCAGUUAAGGCUGUUUUUGUAUUUCCAUUUAAUUUUCUUUCCUGCAGAUGCUUUGUUUUAUGGCUUUGGAUGUAUC